UUCCGGUUGAUCCCGGCGGACCCGACUGCUAUUUGGGUGAGAAUAAGCCAUGCGAGUUGAAUGGAAUACCUAAAUUUUCCAUAGCAAACUGCUCAGUAACACAUGAUCAACUUACCCUAUAGAGAAAAAUAACCUCGGGAAACUGAGGAUAAUGUUUCAUAGUUGAAAAGGCUUGGAAAAGUUUUUCAAUAAAAAGGAUAAGAAAAAUGGUUCUUAUCCGCUAUAGGAUAGGAUCGUGCUCGAUUAUGGUUGUUGGUGAGGUAAUGGCUCACCAAGCCGAUAAUCGAUAGGGGCCGUGAGAGCGGGAGCCCCGAGAUGGGUACUGAGACAACGACCCAGGCCUUACGAGGCGCAGCAGGCGCGAAACCUCAGCAAUACACGAAAGUGUGACUGGGUUACCCAAAGUGUUCAGUUUUGAACUGUGGUAGGUGAGUAAUGUCCCCUACUAGAAAGGAGAGGGCAAGGCUGGUGCCAGCCGCCGCGGUAAAACCAGCUCUUCAAGUGGUCGGGAUAAUUAUUGGGCUUAAAGUGUCCGUAGCCUGUUUAGUAAGUUCCUGGUAAAAUCGGGUAGCUUAACUAUCUGUAUGCUAGGAAUACUGCUAAACUAGAGGGCGGGAGAGGUCUGAGGUACUACAGGGGUAGGGGUGAAAUCUUAUAAUCCUUGUAGGACCACCAGUGGCGAAGGCGUCAGACUGGAACGUGCCUGACGGUGAGGGACGAAAGCCAGGGGAGCGAACCGGAUUAGAUACCCGGGUAGUCCUGGCCGUAAACGAUGCAUACUANGUGAUGGCAUGGCCAUGAGCCGUGUCAGUGCCGUAGGGAAACCGUUAAGUAUGCCGCCUGGGAAGUACGGUCGCAAGGCUAAAACUUAAAGGAAUUGGCGGGGGAGCACCACAAGGGGUGAAGCAUGCGGUUCAAUUGGAUUCAACGCCGGGAAUCACUAGUGCGGC
rnacentral:rRNA from 1 species